rnacentral:piRNA from 1 species
UCACUGUCGAGGUUAUAGUGAGCUAUGAAC